GUCUUUGAACGCAAGUUGCGCCCCAAGCCGUUAGGCCGAGGGCACGUCUGCCUGGGUGUCACGCAUCGUCGCCCCCCUCGCACCCGCCUCCCCGAGGCGGAGCGGUCGGGCGGAAACUGGCCUCCCGUGCGCUCCCCGCGGGCGGUUGGCCGAAAUUCGAGUCCUCGGCGACGGUUGCCGCGACGAUCGGUGGUGAAAGCAAAGCCUCGAGCUCACGUCGCGCGCCGCCGUCCCCGGGCAAGGGCUCCCGGACCCCGAUGCGCCGAAGCGCUAGCACUUGCGACCCCAGGUCAGGCGGGACUACCCGCUGAGUUUAAGCAUAUCAAUAAGCGGAGGAAAAGAAACUUACCAGGAUUCCCUUAGUAACGGCGAGCGAACCGGGAAGAGCCC
rnacentral:rRNA from 1 species